rnacentral:lncRNA from 1 species
UGUGAGCACUUAAUUCAUCGUCGGCAACACAAAUGUGAUAUCAUUUAAAAAUAUAUUACAUUCAAGACGUAUGUUAUUUUCUCUUCUGUUACAACGCACGGGCUCUUUUGCUAGUCCGAUAUUACCAAAAUACAAGAGAAGAGCAAAAAUAAAAGGGGAAGGUACAGCCACGUACUGAAGAUGGAGGUGGAUGCGGACAUGGAUUCUCCAAUCCAACCAUGACCUGGAGUCAAACGUGGAUACGGACUGGACUCGCCCUCCACGCCGGCCGGCUGGCUCGGCCUCAAGCCACCGCGCCUUGCUGCGCCACAUCGCGGCCGGCUCGGCCUCGAAGUGCCACACCUGCUGCAACCACCACCUCGCUCUGCCUCCAUGGUCUCGAUGGCCGCUUCGCUCGCCUCUGCCUCUAUGUCUCCGUGCUCGCCGCUUCGCCGGCCUACCUCCACAGCCAUGAGACGGACCUCCGCCGCGCUUGCCGGCUCGCCACGCCGCUCGAGCUGCCCCUGCGCGGACCUCGCCUCGAGUCGCCACUGACGAGCCGCCCUGGCCGAGCCGCCAUCGUAACCCGCCUGUGUUGCUGCAGCACUCCACCUUGCCCUACCGCUUUUGCCGCGGCCGCCAUGGUUUACCUCGCCUCGGUCGCGUCCGUGGAGUAGGAUCACCAGCCGCAAGUCACUCAGCAAGUUCGAGCCCCACGUAUGGUCGAGACAUUGUUGUUGUCCUAAUCAGCGAGAGGAAGGAAGAAGGAAACAUUAGGUAAAAAAACUUGAGAGUCGUACAGAAAGCUAGUUCUACUCGGGUACGAAGCAUACAGAUCUGCCCUGCACAAUUUCGUCAGGCUCAGGAAACACUCUGAGUCGGCCUCGCCUUUGCUAUUGCGCUCCGCCUCACCACCGCGGCCUCGCUUCGCCGCCCCGCGCUGCCCCGUCGGCUUCGCUGCACCUCCGCCACCGUGGAGUACGUAGAUGAUGGACGGAUCCUAGUAUACUGCAAUACACGCACAUAAUAAAC